UAGUAAGAUGAGCGAGGCGGACCAGGC
rnacentral:piRNA from 1 species